CCUCCAGCAUGGAGUGGGAGCUGAACUUGCUGCUCUAUCUCGCCCUCUUCUUCUUUUUGCUCUUCCUACUUUUCCUCCUGCUUUUCGUGGUCAUCAAGCAGCUGAAGAACUCCGUGGCCAGCACGGCCGGGACGCUCCAGCCAGGGCGCCUCUCUCUGCACCGCGAGCCCUGGGGCUUCAACCACGAGCAGGCGGUGUGAACCGAGCGCGGGCUCCGGCCGGAGGGCGCCCGGCUGCCUCGCUUCUUCAUCCACGCUGUCUCCUCGCCUGCAGGUGUGGGGCUGGCGGCAGUGCAGGGAUGUGCACCAGCUUAACGUGUCCUGAGUCUUCCUAGUGGGAAACUCUAGAGGAUUCUGGAUGCUUGCUCUGACAUCCACAAUGUUCUAGGUUCCAAACUUCCAUCCAGCCACUGAUGAUACCUUGGUUGUGAUAAUCACUAUGUCUACUCUACUUUUAAGGUAGGGUAAAUAUGAGUUAGACACUAAGGGAUUUAAAAAGUAAGGAGCAUUUAAGAUAACU